rnacentral:misc_RNA from 1 species
AAGUCGUAACAAGGUAACCGUAGGUGAACCUGCGGUUGGAUCAUUACCAAAUCCAAACCCGGUGCUCUCGGCGCUGCAUGCGCGCGUGCGUCUUCCUCCCUCCCUCACCGCGCCCUUUGCGGGGCGCAGAGUCGGAGAGGAGGGGGCGCGCUCACGUGUGUGCUUCGUCCAUUGUGCCUUCCACCCCAUGUGCAAUGUUUCCACACUGGGGGCGUGGCUUGCCACGCGCACAUCGCACCUUGCAGUGUGUGCGCGCGGCUCGCCGCUUAAGCGCCCCCUUUCACUACCCUGUGCUUCUCCAAUCACCUGACGUUACCACUCGUGGCAUGUGCGCUUGCGCACCUGGCAUUAGAGCUUAACGAAAAAACAACUUUUGACAACGGAUCUCUUGGCUCUC